AUCAAUUAAAAUCCAAAUAAUAAACCACGCUCGGCAACAAUUUUACUGAUUAAUCAUCGAUGGCUGAUGAAGCUAAAGCCAAAGGCAACGCCGCUUUCGCCGCCGGCAACUAUUCUGACGCGAUCAAGCACUUCUCCGACGCGAUCACCUUGUCUCCGGCCAAUCAUGUUCUCUACUCCAACCGAUCGGCUGCUUACGCUUCGAUUAACAAUUUCUCCGAAGCUUUAGUGGAUGCGAAAAAAACGGUGGAGAUCAAACCGGACUGGGCUAAGGGAUACUCUCGGCUCGGCUCGGCUCAUCUCGGACUCCACAAUUAUGUCGAAGCUAUCGAGGCGUACAAGAAAGGUCUUGAAUUGGAUCCGAAUAAUGAGGCUUUGAAAUCCGGGUUAUCCGACGCGGAGACCCGGGUUAGGACCCGACCCGGUUUUGGCAAUCCGACCCGGCCCGGGGCGAGUCCGUUCGGGGACGCGUUCGGGCCGGAGAUGUGGGCGAAAUUGACGGCGGAUCCGACGACGAGAGCGUUCCUCCAGCAGCCUGAUUUCGUGAACAUGAUGAAAGAGCUUCAGAAGAACCCGAGCAAUUUGAAUUUGUACUUGAAGGAUCCCAGGGUUAUGCAAGCGCUAGGAGUUUUGCUUAAUAUCAAGCUUUCGACACGAGGAAGUGAUGAUAAGGGUGUAGAGAUGUAUGACGUAUCCUCGGAGAGGAAGAGGCCUGCGGAGGAGGAACCGGUGAAUGUGAAGGAGAAGAAGCGCGAGGCGGAGCCAAUGCAGGAGGAGGUGGAGGUUUCAGAGGAGGAGAGGGAGAAAAAGGAGAGGAAGGAGAAGGCGCGGAAGGCGAAAGAGGAGGGUAAUGUGGCGUAUAAGAAGAAGGAUUUCGAGACGGCGAUUAGGUGUUAUAGUGAGGCGAUUGAGUUGGAUGAUGAGGAUAUUUCGUUUGUUACUAAUAGGGCUGCGGUUUAUCUGGAGAUGGGGAAGGUAUGUUGCUAAUGCUUCAAUCUUUAUUUAUACAUUAUGUAUUAAAAAUUGUACAGCAUGUUUUUGUUGAAUGUGUUUUGGUGCUAUCCUUUACUUGAUAUUGAGAUAAUUCAAGUUAAUAUAAGUUCCACAGGUUAAUUUGAUGUUUAUUUUGCGAUUGUGAUGCCUGUUGUCUUUAGCGUAGGAUUAUUUUCUCUUCUGUUGUGUUCAUGUAUGCAGAGGUGUAAUUUAGGAUAAUGGUAAAAGUAGCUGAAUUUUAAAAGGUUAGGAAUGUUGGGGAAGAAUUAUAAUUUAGCAUGACUUUUACAGGGACCAUCCUGAUAUACAAGUUUUUCUUUGUAGCUAGAUUACGACAUAACAUAUGAGUAGGUCAUUUGCAAAAGAAGUUGAUGCUUUUGAUCGCUUUACUACAUAAUGAAAAUUUUGGAUCCAAUUCUUUUGUCUUAUAUAUAUGAUUAAGUUGUGCAUUUUAUUUUUGUUUGAUUAUUGUCUACUAUUAUAUUAUAUAUAUAUUUAUAUGCUAUAUAUCUUAUUUUUCAAUAUGACAUAUUCAUUUAUGUGCUGAUAUUAGAGCAUAUAUUUCACUUUACAAUUAAGAUCUGUAUCUAACUAGUUGGUAACUAAUGCCACCAGUUUGAGGAGUGCAUUAAAGAUUGUGACACUGCUGUUGAAAGGGGAAGAGAACUCAGAUCAGACUUCAAGAUGGUUGCAAAGGCUUUGACAAGGAAAGGAACUGCCUUGGUGAAAAUGGCUAAAUGCUCCAAGGACUACGAACCUGCUAUUGAGACAUUUCAGAAAGCUUUGACAGAGCAUCGUAACCCAGAUACUCUAAAAAAACUUAAUGAUGCUGAGAAAGCAAAGAAAGAUCUAGAGCAACAGGAGUACUUUGAUCCGAAAAUAGCAGACGAGGAGCGUGAGAAAGGUACUAUUAUAUUUCUGUUUACCGUGGGGUUACUCACAGUAUACUACUUUUAAUUAUGAUCUGUUGCAUGUGGUUAACGGAUUACAUGUUUUACCAGGCAACGAAUUUUUCAAACAGCAGAAGUAUCCUGAAGCAAUUAAGCAGUACACAGAAUCACUGAGAAGAAAUCCAAAGGAUCACAAGGUUUGUCAUAACGAAUUCCAUUAUUACUCUUGUUCAUGAGUUAUGGAGUAUGUGAAAUAAUUUUGAUGUAUGUUUGACCCCAACAUGUUACUGAUUUGUGCAGGCUUACAGUAACAGAGCAGCUUGCUAUACAAAACUUGGCGCACUGCCUGAGGGAUUGAAGGAUGCAGAAAAGUGUAUUGAGCUUGAUCCCACAUUUGCCAAGGGAUAUACCAGAAAAGGUGCUGCACAGUUUCUCAUGAAAGAUUAUGAUAAAGCUUUGGAAACAUAUCAAGCAGGGUUGAAACACGAUCCACACAACCAAGAAUUGUUGGAUGGUGUUAAGAGGUAUAUUAUCGUAUUUGGCUAUUGAUGAAAGUGCAUCAUCAUUUUUUAACUGUAUUGAACAUUUACUGAUUGCUGCAUCAAUUGUUUCCCAGGUGUGUCGCUCAAAUUAAUAAGGCCAGCCGCGGUGAUUUAACUCCUGAGGAAUUGAAGGAGCGGCAGGUAUAUGCCUAAUUUUGUUAUGUUACACAGAUUGUGCAUGUCUGUUUUUUAUAAAUUAGGAAUCUCAUGUCAAUAUUUAAAAAUUGGGUUAAUAAUCAAGUGAGUCACCAAAUUGGGCUUGAUAUAUCAAGUUGGUCACCGAACUCAAAACGGUCUCAAAUUGGUCACUCAAGUUAGUUAUAUGUAUCUGUAAAUAUGAAUUCAAAGAGUAAAGAUAUUAUUUAUAGAGGUUUAAAUAUUAUUUUUGAAUGUUACCACAACUAAAUACAAGAUUAUGACUUCUCGUAUUUAUGAAAAUAUAUUUAGAUUUUAUCAAGUUUAUUUACUAUUUAUUUUUUAUUAUAUAGUUAUUUUCUUUAUUUUAAUUAUAAAUAUAUAAUAAAUAAACUUGAUAAAUCUGAAUAUAUUACCAUAAAUAUCAGAAGUCAUGAUCUUAUACUUAGUUCUGGUAACAUUCAAAAAUAAUAUGUAAACCUCUAUAAAUAAUAUAUUUACCCCUUCAACUUAUAUUUACAGAUACAUAUAACUUGACUUGAGUGAUCAAUUUGACACCGUUUUGAGUUCAGUGACCAACUUGAUAUUUUGAGCCCACUCUAUAAUAAAAAAAUUAAAAAAUAAUAGAGCUCGAGCUCGGCUCGAUAAAACAUCCAAAUAGCUCGACCUUUUUCUACAAUACGAUCACCCCAUAGGUUUAAAAAGACUGGUUUAGAUAGCAGUGCAAUACUUUUUCUUUAUGAAACCUUUGCACUCUUCUGAGAAUAUGAGAACUGACUUGGAAUUGUAACAUGCAAAGGUGUUUGUAGUAAGCAAAUAGGACAUGAAAUUGCAACUCGUAAGUGAUAAAAGUUUUUUUUUUUUUUUAAACACGUAAGUGAUAAAAGUUGAUUAUAUGCGAGAUGCAUCUUCCAUAUUUCCCGCCUAAAAUUUUCUCUUGUCAGGAUUUGCCCACUUAAAUUUUAGCAUAGAGAACCUAUUUUACAAAAUUUAAGCGAACAUUUUUAUUUUUUUCAGAAAAGAAGCUAAUCCAAUAUAUUUCUCUUAACCAUGGUUUUUUGUUAAUGAUCUUAACGCCGAUUUUUUUUCAUUAUUACAUUAAAAAUUAGAUUAAAAUUUUAUAAUAUAAAAUAAUAUCUAAACAUAAAGAAUUCAAUAUACAAAAUUUGUUGAUUAUUAAUCGAACGAGAGCUUCCACAAUACUUACCAAUAAAUCCAUCUUAUUUCCAAAUUUCGAUACUAUUUAAGUAAUCCAAUCAUGUAAAUUUUAAUAUAUUUUAUAUGAGAUCAAUACUUAUAUCUUAUUGAUAUAAUACUACAUAUGAAUUCCUGUUGAAUUUAAAACUAAAUUUUACUAUUAUCACAAUUUAUAAUUUUCUUAUAAUUUCAACUACAUAUAGAUUUGUUAUUUCUUCAUAUUAAUAUUUUCAUUAUUAAGCGCAUUCAUCGUUAGAAAAUUUAAUUUUAAUAUUAUAUCAAUAUAAUUUUUGUAUAUAAAUAACCUUACAAACUUAUCACUGUGCUUUCUCUCCCUAGAACAUUCUUCUCUCUAUUCUCUUUGUUUAGUAGUUUUACCUUUUCCAAUUUGAAUUCUAAUUCCAAAAUCUAAACACAACUAGAACAUUCCAGAAAUAAAACCCUCUAGCCCCUCAGUCCCUCACUAUAAAAACACUUAUCUUCAUCUUCCCCACGAAAUCAAUUAAAAUCCAAAUAAUAAACCACGCUCGGCAACAAUUUUACUGAUUAAUCAUCGAUGGCUGAUGAAGCUAAAGCCAAAGGCAACGCCGCUUUCGCCGCCGGCAACUAUUCUGACGCGAUCAAGCACUUCUCCGACGCGAUCACCUUGUCUCCGGCCAAUCAUGUUCUCUACUCCAACCGAUCGGCUGCUUACGCUUCGAUUAACAAUUUCUCCGAAGCUUUAGUGGAUGCGAAAAAAACGGUGGAGAUCAAACCGGACUGGGCUAAGGGAUACUCUCGGCUCGGCUCGGCUC
rnacentral:lncRNA from 1 species